rnacentral:rRNA from 1 species
UAGGGAAUCUUCCACAAUGGGCGCAAGCCUGAUGGAGCAACACCGCGUGAGUGAAGAAGGGUUUCGGCUCGUAAAGCUCUGUUGUUAAAGAAGAACACGUAUGAGAGUAACUGUUCAUACGUUGACGGUAUUUAACCAGAAAGUCACGGCUAACUACGUGCCAGCAGCCGCGGUAAUACGUAGGUGGCAAGCGUUAUCCGGAUUUAUUGGGCGUAAAGAGAGUGCAGGCGGUUUUCUAAGUCUGAUGUGAAAGCCUUCGGCUUAACCGGAGAAGUGCAUCGGAAACUGGAUAACUUGAGUGCAGAAGAGGGUAGUGGAACUCCAUGUGUAGCGGUGGAAUGCGUAGAUAUAUGGAAGAACACCAGUGGCGAAGGCGGCUACCUGGUCUGCAACUGACGCUGAGACUCGAAAGCAUGGGUAGCGAACAGGAUUAGAUACCCUGGUAGUCCAUGCCGUAAACGAUGAGUGCUAGGUGUUGGAGGGUUUCCGCCCUUCAGUGCCGGAGCUAACGCAUUAAGCACUCCGCCUGGGGAGCACGACCGCAAGGUUG